CCCCUAGAUGUUCUGGGCCGCACGCGCGCUACACUGAACAGUUCAACAAGUCUUAACCUUGGCCGAUAGGUCUGGGUAAUCUUUGAACGCUGUUCGUGAUUGGGAUAGACCUUUGCAAUUAUGGGUCUUCAACGAGGAAUUCCUAGUAAACGCAAGUCAUCAGCUUGCAUUGAUUACGUCCCUGCCCUUUGUACACACCGCCCGUCGCACCUACCGAUUGAAUGGUCCGGUGAAAUCUCGGGACGGCGGCUUGGUCGCUUGCGUCCGACUGCUGAAACUUGAUUAAACCAUAUCAUUUAGAGGAAGGUGAAGGCGUAACA
rnacentral:rRNA from 1 species